ACCACAAGAGCAAGUUAUACAACUUUAUUCUUGAAAAUGUUAGAGACUGAGACUUGGAGUCAAAGUCAACAGACACGCUUGCAUGGACAUGAAGGAUGUAAAGAACUAGAGUAUUAUAACUGAAAGCAUUUUGUCUGGAUUUGUGUAUGGAAACAGAAGGAUUUAGUAUUGGUAUCCUGAAUUUUUGUCAACUUCUAGCCAAGAUCCUGUACUUAAGCUGAAUGUGGAGGACAGAUGUACACACAGUACUAGUAUAGAGGGUAUUAUCUCGGUACCUUAAAACUCCAAAUGACAGGGAGAAGAAGAAAACUGCAUAUUUCCGAUGUAUCUUCACAGCAACAUGACCCAAAGCACUACCAUUAAAGGAUUUGAUUUGACAUUAAGGAAGUAAAAAAAUGAAGGCAUUAGUCAUAAAGAAAAUUAAAGAACUUUAUGUCUGAAUAUUAUAUCAACAAUACCAUAGAUCUAAAGAUGGAUUAUUUUGCCUUAUAAUUUAUAUUAAUGCAUGUACAUGUAAUUUUAUUCUUUUUAUGUAUACAAUCAUGUAGUGUUACCAUUUUUCACAAAGCUUAAAAAGUUAUGUAGGGCCACACCAAUUUAAUUUCUUGUUCGUUGGACAUUUGAUUUAAAAAAAGUACAAGCAGUUAAAUGAUAAUAUUAUUACUCUUUGCUGGGCAAUUUUUUAGGCGGAGCGUGAAAAUUUGAGCGGACAAUUAU